rnacentral:other from 1 species
GAUGGCCUGCGAAGCAGGUGACGUUGCGAAAGCCUUUUGAACCAACACUGGAUCCCAGGGAGUCCGCGUCGUCCUGCCCUUGUGCACGUCCCGCUCCGGCUUGCCGGUGUGGGAAAGCCUGAAAGCAGGCGCGGGGCACCCACCUAUUCGUGGGGUUCAGGGCCUAGCAGCGCACGGCCAAGUGGACCGCUC